CAGGCUUCCGCUUUCUCCACGUCCUCGCCGGCAUCUGAAAAAAAGAGGCAGCCCACCGUUGGCAGUUAAAAGCUCACCGUCACAUCCCAGCCGAUUUGGUGGAGGAAAUCCUGCAGAGGGAGGCUUCUCCAUGUUCCAGGGCAUCCUCGCCGAUGGAGGUGAUCAGUCGGGCACUCCUGAGGUCCAGUGGUGCCGGCCCAUCAGCACAGCUUGCUUCACAAGACAAGAUCGGGUUGAGUCAUUGCCUUUGACAAAGGUAUCCCCGCACCUUGAAACGGGUAAAAUGGUGAAUUGUGUGUUGUGUGACUUUUAUUCCAAGUCAAAAUAGUUUGUAUCAAAGUGCACUUAAUGCUGUUCUACUCUUUCCUGUGUCAAUAAAAUGUUACUAGGUCCAUGCUUGCACCCAAAGAGACUUUUGUUUGCAAACUAAAGCAUCCUGGUGGAUGGAUCCUGUGUAACUUGUGUCUUUUCAUUUGAAAGAGAAUGAAAUUCUGAAUAUUAAAGUGUAAUGGUGUAUAUUCUAUACAUUCGAUACAUCUACCCAAAGUUUAAAGAUGCGUGUCAUUAAAUUCCGGCUAAAGGUGCGGAAAUCUUCAGGGCCCCACUAUCUAGAGAAAGGAAAAGAACCUCCCCUCCCCACCCACGUCUCCCCAAGAAAACAAGAGAGCGGCAGGAAACAAAAAUGCAAAAGUUCCUAACAGUAACCGAACAAGAAAAGGAGAACCACUCCAUGAAGCGGACUUGGAAAAGUGCCGGCUGGUAAGAAAAACAGAAGUUGGCGAGCAGCAUGGUGAGGUCACCCCUCCGCCUCCCAGAGCCUGCGUCUGCGAGAAGCGGACCCUCCUGCAUCCAGCCCAGGGCCGUGAAGGACAGAGGAGCCCAGAUGGUGAACCCGACCUUCAUUAAAGCCCGCCCCCCCUUCAUGCUCACAGACUACAGCAAAUUAGGCGUCAAAGGAAUAGGAAGCCGUGGAGCCGUGGCCUGGGAAGAAAGGGUCAGCCGCCCGAGUCCAGGAGCUGCGCCCCGCAGAGGCGCAGAGCCGGAAAGAAGUUCCGGGGAAACGCUGCCGAAUGAGGGCCAGGGGAUGGUCCUGAAGCAGCCACUGUGCUCAGAGAGUCAGAAUAAGAAGAAAAGGAUAAAGGACAAAGGAUCAGGAUGGCGUGGGUUCUCGAGGGAACACUUAAAGAAGAAAGUGACAGAACAAUGGCUUUAAAAUUGUAAACAGAAGUCAAGUCCGAGCCAGAAUUCUUUACAGUUCAAACCACCCAACUUGAGGGUAGAACCUCAGUGGGUAUGGAAGUUCUUUAAAACACCUGCUUCCAGGGCUCUGGGGGCGGGGGGCUCAUUCACUUAAGCGCCGACUUCGGCUCAGGUCAUGAUCUUAGGGUUUAUGAGUUCAA